AAAUUGAAGAGUUUGAUCAUGGCUCAGAUUGAACGCUGGCGGCAGGCCUAACACAUGCAAGUCGAGCGGUAGCACAGAGAGCUUGCUCUCGGGUGACGAGCGGCGGACGGGUGAGUAAUGUCUGGGAAACUGCCUGAUGGAGGGGGAUAACUACUGGAAACGGUAGCUAAUACCGCAUAACGUCGCAAGACCAAAGAGGGGGACCUUCGGGCCUCUUGCCAUCAGAUGUGCCCAGAUGGGAUUAGCUAGUAGGUGGGGUAAUGGCUCACCUAGGCGACGAUCCCUAGCUGGUCUGAGAGGAUGACCAGCCACACUGGAACUGAGACACGGUCCAGACUCCUACGGGAGGCAGCAGUGGGGAAUAUUGCACAAUGGGCGCAAGCCUGAUGCAGCCAUGCCGCGUGUAUGAAGAAGGCCUUCGGGUUGUAAAGUACUUUCAGCGAGGAGGAAGGCACUGUGGUUAAUAACCACAGUGAUUGACGUUACUCGCAGAAGAAGCACCGGCUAACUCCGUGCCAGCAGCCGCGGUAAUACGGAGGGUGCAAGCGUUAAUCGGAAUUACUGGGCGUAAAGCGCACGCAGGCGGUCUGUCAAGUC
rnacentral:rRNA from 1 species